rnacentral:rRNA from 1 species
AUUGAACGCUGGCGGCAGGCCUAACACAUGCAAGUCGAGCGCGCGGCGGACGGGUGAGGAAUGUCUGGGAAACUGCCUGAUGCCGGGGGAUAACUACUGGAAAACGUAGCUAAUACCGCACACCAUCCGCUGUGCCCAGCUGGUGUGAGCUAGUAGGUGGGGUAACGGCUCACCUAGGCGACGAUCCCUAGCUGGUCUGAGAGGAUGACCGGCCACACUGGGACUGAGACACGGACCAGACUCCUACGGGAGGCAGCAGUGGGGAAUAUUGGACAAUGGGCGCAAGCCUGAUGCAGCCAGGCCGCGUGUAUGAAGAAGGCCUUCGGGUUGUAAAGUACUUUCAUCGGGGAGGCGGUACCCGCAGAAGAAGCACCGGCUAACUCCGUGCCAGCAGCCGCGGUAAUUC